GCCCCGGGCUCAACCUGGGAAUUGCAUUUAAAACUGUCCAGCUAGAGUCUUGUAGAGGGGGGURGAAUUCCAGGUGUAGCGGUGAAAUGCGUAGAGAUCUGGAGGAAUACCGGUGGCGAAGGCGGCCCCCUGGACAAAGACUGACGCUCAGGUGCGAAAGCGUGGGGAGCAAACAGGAUUAGAUACCCUGGUAGUCCACGCCGUAAACGAUGUCNAUUUGGAGGCUGUGUCCUUGAGACGUGGCUUCCGGAGCUAACGCGUUAAAUCGACCGCCUGGGGAGUACGGCCGCAA
rnacentral:rRNA from 1 species